CUCGAUGUGAAUGCACAUUAGGUCCCAGAGUUGCAGCGGAGGCGGAGCCAGACCCAUUGCCCAGGGACAUCGGCACUGGAUUCAGGUAAGUGACAAAAUGGAUUUUAAUAGUAUAAGAAAAGCAAGAAAUGGGACUAGAAAAGUCCUGAGCAGGAGAGUAAUGGGGGGAAGGGGUCCCUACCGUUAAUAAUCCUAAGGGAAAGCAAAAUUAAAAUAGGACAGGAAAAAUAAUAAAAAGGGAAAAAGAAAGGAGGUGGAAAGAGGAAUGUGUAGUGAUAGACCAUCCAAAGGCAUACCUGUCCUAGUAGCUAAAAAGAUCAAUUAAACCAAUCCAUAAGUGCUACCAAAAGUGAAUUAAAUAAAUUGAUAA